AACGAACGCUGGCGGCAUGCCUAACACAUGCAAGUCGAACGAAACCUUCGGGUCUAGUGGCGCACGUGUGCGUAACGCGUGGGAACCUGCCCUUAGGUUCGGAAUAACUCCCCGAAAGGGGUGCUAAUACCGGAUAAUGUCUUCGGACCAAAGAUGUAUGGCCUUGGGAUGGGCCCGCGUUGGAUUCGCGAGUUGGUAGGGUACAAGCCUACCAAGGCGAGGAUCCAUAGCUGGUAGGUUAGGAUGACCAUCCACACUUGGAAUAAGACACGGCCCAGUAUCCGACGGGAGGGAGCAGUGGAGAAUAUUGUGCGAUGGGCGAAGGCCUGAUACAGCAGUGUCGGGGGAGUGAUGAAGGGCGUAGGGUUGUAAUGCUGUUUUACCCGAGAUGAUAAUGACAGUACCGGGAGAAUAAGCACCGGCUAACUCCGUG
rnacentral:rRNA from 1 species